AGGACAAACGCUGGCGGCGUGCCUAAGACAUGCAAGUCGAACGGAAGGCUUCGGCCUUGAGUGGCGGACGGGUGAGGAGCGCGUGGAGAACCUGCCCCGGGGUGGGGGAUAACAGUCGGAAACGAUUGCUAAAGACCGCAUACGACCAUUUACCGCAGGGUAGGUGGGGAAAGCAGUGAUGUGCCCUGGGAGGGCUCCGCGUCGGAUUAGCUAGUUGGUGGGGUAACGGCCUACCAAGGCUGCGAUCCGUAGCUGGUCUGAGAGGACGGCCAGCCACACUGGGACUGAGACACGGCCCAGACUCCUACGGGAGGCAGCAGUUAGGGAAUUUUGUCAAUGGGCGAAAGCCUGAACGAGUGACGCCGCGUGCGGGAUGACGCCUUUCGGGGUGUAAACCGCUUUUCCCAAGGACGAGGAUGGACGGUACUUGGGGAAUAAGUCUCGGCUAACUACGUGCCAGCAGCCGC
rnacentral:rRNA from 1 species